CAGUGGUUCAGAUGUCCUUUCUUGUGGCC
rnacentral:piRNA from 1 species